CAGACGCACACAAGAAAACUUGUCCAGAGCUUUACAUAAUCAAUCUAUGACAUGUUCGGUGACAGUGAGCUGCAUUACAAGUGGGAUUGAAAUGGUGACUACAAAGAAAUCUCUAAUGUUAAUUUUGGUCAUGGCUUGUCUUGAAAAAUUAAGACUAUUUGACGGUCGUCGUAGGAAACGUCCCACUGCAGGACUGGGAGUCAAGUCUUCUGAGAGGUCAAAUUUUAUCGCAACUGUCAUUAAUAGGCUGUAGGUGAACAUGUGAAACUAAUGUUUAAAAAAUUCUGAUUUUAGCCUGGGAUCAGAGGAAUCUUUUAGUAUUUGCUAAAUUUGUCUCAGACGGCCAAAUCGUGGCCAGAAUCAUACAGUGAGAGUUAGAGUUAGAGACUGUUUCUGUGAGAAAACUACUUGUGAAACUUAUCUGUAGUCGUUAAGCCACAUUUUAUACACCGUAGUUAAACUGAAAGCUCAGACGCAUGGCAUGCAUGCACUGACUCAUCUAAAUACUAGAUCUGGUAUGAGAUUGAGACAUAAUGACCUGCACAGGGCAUUACAAUAAACAGACUGAGGUAAAUCAACAAUGGCCUCCAACAACUGUUUUAAGACCUGAGCAAUGAAAAGAAUAUUUAGCCGUGUUUCCACCGCAGGAACUUUCCCCAGGAACUAGGAACUUUGGGGUGGUUCUCGCUGUGUUUAUGUGGCAGGAUGGACUGUGGUGGAAAUCAGUCCCUCCUCCCCAGUUGGUUUCAUUGGUUUUUAUCCUGCCUGUCCGGUUCAUGAUUGGCUUGUGGGGUUUCGUGGUGGCCAAUCGUGUCAGGAAGAGGAUGUUAAAGCUUGAACGUACUGCAAAUGUUUUACUGCAAAUGUUGGACGGUGUUAGUUUACUGGUGGUUUAUGUGGGAUUCAGAUUUUUUUCUUAGAAUUCCUUGCUGUGUUGCUAACCAUUUUCCAUUGAGUUGAACGGAAUACCGUGUUACUUGCCUGUUUGUUGACUCGUCUGCGAGAUUUGUGUGUCGCGCGCUGUGGCUCAGGGAUAGCUCCUACAGCAAGGAUCCUUGCUGUGUUGCGGCUAGCCAUUUUCCAUUGAGUUGAACGGAAUAACGUGCUACUUGCCAUUUGUUGACUCGCCUGCGAGAUUUGUGUGUCGCGCGCUGUGGCUCAGGGAUAGCUACUACAGGCAAGGCAACUGCUGCUUUGCUUGAAUGUUGUGAAAUGCACGUUUCCUCUACAUGAUCAACUUGUUUCCGCCAAGGCCAAGUUAAUGGAUUGAGUUCAUUCUCCCUCAAGGAAACUACCUCGUAGGCCACUUGUGCGGCCGACUGAGUAUCUGUGUUACGUGAUUGUUUGAGUGGGUUGUGUGUCCUUAUUUUCUAGAAGUUAUCUAAUUUGUCUUUUUGUUUGUUUUAUUUACCAGUGUUAUAGUCGUUUUGUUAAGUCAUUUCAUUUGUUUCUGUGUUUAUUUCAUUUAUUAGUUGUACAGUUGUUUUACCAAGUCAUUUCAUUUCCUUCUUUAUUUCCUUUAUCAGUACUAUAGUCAUUUUGUAAAGUCAUUUCAUUUGCUUCUGUGUUUAUUUCUGUUGUUUUGUCAAUUCAUUUCAUUUUAUUUUUUUUGUUUAUUUCCUGUACUAGUUGUUCUGUAGAGUUAUUUUCUUUGUUUGUUUGUUGUUUGUUUAUUUGACUCAAAUGCAUUACUGUUGUCUUUCAACUUUAUUUCAUUUCCUUUGUGGUUGUUGUUGGAAAAGUUAUUUGUUUUGUCAUCGUUGCUAGUCUGGGCCCUCUUUAGUGUGUGUAGCAGGGUUACCAUCACAGUGUGACGUUGCUGUGCUGAUUGUGUUGCGGUGCACGUGUGGUUGGAUUAUUCUGAUACUCAUGCCCAAAUCGCUGGACGCCCACCAGUAAGCCUCAAGCCCGGUAUCGUGAUUGUGUGUCUGUUAAAAUACUUAAUGUCAAGAAGACACUGAUUCACACAUCUUUGUGUGUUAUUUUUUUUAUUGUGUUUUAUUGAUUAUGAUUAAUUAUUCUAUCUCCAUUGGAGUGCUGUGAUGUGGUAUGGACUCUUACCCAGUGUGUAGUGUUUUUUUUAGAAUCUUCUGACGUCAGCUUUUCAGAGUGUUUACUAUUUUUGCUGUGAAUUUGAUUAAUAAAAGUGUAUUUCUUUCUACGGAACCACUUCUCUGUUUGUUCGGUGCACGAACCUGAUUGCCUAAUUCUAUAGAAGUUUUGGUGAUUAUUUACAGUUCGUAGUCGAAUUAUAAUUACUGCCGCUGCUAUAUUUACACUGCAGGAACCAGGGUCUAAAUGAAGUUCCGGGUAAAAAUCUCCCCCCCAGAAAGUCCCUGCUGGCGAGGUGGUACUUUUUCAGAGUUCAGGAACUUUCGGGGUGGGACUUGUGUGCUGAACAUGCUGAUUGGUUCUCACCACGCUAUUCUUUCUGCCCGAUGGCGCGCGAUCCUCCCAUCCAUCUCCCGGUCAAUAGGUCCGCUGAUAAAAAGGUCUACUUUUAAUAUCUAGCAUUACAAGCUUUCUGAAUACGCUUUGGGUGCUCGUCUCUUUUCUGCCGUUUUGUUAAUUACCUCGUUAGUAAAUCAAUCGCACACAAAAGCAGCACAGCUUGAAUCUCCUCCAUAGAAAACUCAAAACAAACGCGCAGGCUAGGAAGAGCAGUCGCACGCAGUUCAACGUCACUACAUAAUCUUCCCGCCCCGGACCGUUACUUUAGGCCGCGGUGUGUACGCAGUAAGCAAGCGAUCUGGGGGGAAAAAAGUUCCUGGGACAAAUAGUUCCUGGUAAUUGCGGUGGAAACGCGGCUUUUGUUCAUCUCUGGUCUCCUACUCCUAGUGCAGAUAAAGUAGCUGUGACCUGAAAAGACCUAGAAGACAGAUCAAGUUUGCCAAGUAGCCAAGCCGGUUUUUGUUGUUGUUUUGUUUUGUUUUUUUGUGGUCUGAUUUUAACGUUUGCUUUAUAAUGUAUUUCACCAACCUGGGCUCAUUGGGAAAAAUGUGACUGUGGCAACAUUUUGUGGCUAAAUUACUAUGCACAUUUAAUGCUUCUUGCACAUUUCGCAACACUUUCAAAGCCAGUGAGUGGCAAU